UACGGGAGGCAGCAGUGGGGAAUAUUGCACAAUGGGCGCAAGCCUGAUGCAGCCAUGCCGCGUGUAUGAAGAAGGCCUUCGGUUGUAAAGUACUUUCAGCAGUGAGGAAGGUGGAUAUGUUAAUAGCAUAUUCAUUUGACGUUAGCUGCAGAAGAAGCACCGGCUAACUCCGUGCCAGCAGCCGCGGUAAUACGGAGGGUGCGAGCGUUAAUCGGAAUUACUGGGCGUAAAGCGCAUGCAGGUGGUUUGUUAAGUCAGAUGUGAAAGCCCGGGGCUCAACCUCGGAAUUGCAUUUGAAACUGGCAAACUAGAGUACUGUAGAGGGGGUAGAAUUUCAGGUGUAGCGGUGAAAUGCGUAGAGAUCUGAAGGAAUACCGGUGGCGAAGGCGGCCCCCUGGACAGAUACUGACACUCAGAUGCGAAAGCGUGGGGAGCAAACAGGAUUAGAUACCCUGGUAG
rnacentral:rRNA from 1 species